rnacentral:rRNA from 1 species
GACAAGAUUCCGGGCCCUACGGGGCGCAGCAGGCGCGAAAACCUUUACACUGCACGACAGUGCGAUAAAGGGGACCCCGAGUGCGUAGGCAUAGAGCCUACGCUUUUGUACACCGUAGGGAGGUGUACGAAUAAGAGCUGGGCAAGACCGGUGCCAGCCGCCGCGGUAAUACCGGCAGCUCGAGUGAUGGCCGAUCUUAUUGGGCCUAAAGCGUCCGUAGCUGGCUUUUCAAGUCCGUCGGGAAAUCUCCCCGCUCAACGGGGAGGCGUCCGGCGGAAACUGAAGAGCUUGGGACCGGAAGGCGUGACGGGUACGUCCGGGGUAGGAGUGAAAUCCUGUAAUCCUGGACGGACCACCGGUGGCGAAAGCGCCUCAGGAGGACGGAUCCGACAGUGAGGGACGAAAGCUAGGGUCUCGAACCGGAUUAGAUACCCGGGUAGUCCUAGCUGUAAACGAUGCCCGCUAGGUGUGGCGCAGGCUACGAGCCUGCGCUGUGCCGUAGGGAAGCCGAGAAGCGGGCCGCCUGGGAAGUACGUCUGCAAGGAUGAAACUUAAAGGAAUUGGCGGGGGAGCACUACAACCGGAGGAGCCUGCGGUUUAAUUGGACUCAACGCCGGACAUCUCACCAGCAUCGACUGUAGUAAUGACGAUCAGGUUGAUGACCUUAUCCGAGCUUCAGAGAGGAGGUGCAUGGCCGCCGUCAGCUCGUACCGUGAGGCGUCCUGUUAAGUCAGGCAACGAGCGAGACCCGCAUCCUUACUUGCCAGCAGCAUCGCGAGAUGGCUGGGGACAGUAGGGAGACCGCCGCUGCUAAAGCGGAGGAAGGAACGGGCAACGGUAGGUCAGUAUGCCCCGAAUGUGCUGGGCAACACGCGGGCUACAAUGGCCGAGACAGAGGGUUCCAACCCCGAGAGGGGACGGUAAUCUCAGAAACUCGGUCGUAGUUCGGAUUGUGGACUGAAACUCGUCCACAUGAAGCUGGAUUCGGUAGUAAUCGCGUUNAGAAAGCGC